rnacentral:rRNA from 1 species
ACAGGGGAGCUUGCUCCCGCUGACGACCGGCGCACGGGUGCGGAACGCGUAUGGAACCUACCUCAAUCAGGGGGAUAGCCCAGGGAAACUUGGAUUAAUACCCCAUAGUAUUAUUUGAUUGCAUGAUUGAAUAAUUAAAGGUUACGGAUUGAGAUGGCCAUGCGUAUCAUUAGCUAGUUGGUAAGGUAACGGCUUACCAAGGCAACGAUGAUUAGGGGCCCUGAGAGGGGGAUCCCCCACACUGGUACUGAGACACGGACCAGACUCCUACGGGAGGCAGCAGUGAGGAAUAUUGGACAAUGGUCGCAAGACUGAUCCAGCCAUGCCGCGUGCAGGAUGACUGCCCUAUGGGUUGUAAACUGCUUUUGUACGAGAAGAACACCCUCUUCGUGAAGAGGACUGACGGUAUCGUACGAAUAAGGACCGGCUAACUCCGUGCCAGCAGCCGCGGUAAUACGGAGGGUCCGAGCGUUAUCCGGAAUCAUUGGGUUUAAAGGGUCCGUAGGCGGGCUAUUAAGUCAGAGGUGAAAUUGUGCAGCUCAACUGUAGAACUGCCUUUAAUACUGAUAGUCUUGAGUUAUGGUGAGGUAGCCGGAACAUGUGGUGUAGCGGUGAAAUGCAUAGAUAUCACAUAGAACGCCGAUUGCGAAGGCAGGUUACCAACCAUAUACUGACGCUGAUGGACGAAAGCGUGGGGAGCGAACGGGAUUAGAUACCCCGGUAGUCCACGCCGUAAACGAUGGAUACUAGCUGUUGGGUUUUCGGACUCAGCGGCCAAGCGAAAGUGAUAAGUAUCCCACCUGGGGGAGUACGUUCGCAAGAAUGAAACUCAAAGGAAUUGACGGGGGCCCGCACGAGCGGUGGAGCAUGUGGUUUAAUUCGAUGAUACGCGAGGAACCUUACCAGGGCUUAAAUGGGAGAUGACAGGAGCAGAGACGCUCUUUUCUUCGGACAUCUUUC